GGAGUUGCUGCUGCUAUCUGUCGAGAUCAAGCUGGCAUUUUUCAAGGUGCUUCGGCUCUGGUUAUCAAGGGAACCAAUGACCCAUCAACGCUCGAAGCAUUAGCAGUCAGAGAGGCUUUGGCGCUUGCCGAUGAUCUUAAUAUUCGCAUGAUACAUAUCGCUUCUGACUGCAAAGUCGUAGUGGACGACAUCAAGAACAAAACACCGGCUAUCUAUGGAGCUAUUAUGCAUGAAAUCAUAGACCAUAGUUCCACUUUUAUAUCAUGUACCUUUGUGCAUGAGUUUAGGAGCUCAAAUUUCGAGGCUCACAAUCUAGCGAAGCAUAGUUUGAAUUUGGGGGUUGGCCGCCAUGUGUGGUUAGGCAAUCCUGGUAAUCUUUCUUUUGUACCUUUGAACAUUGGCACAAGUUAA
rnacentral:rRNA from 1 species